ensembl:snRNA U6 U6 spliceosomal RNA
GCUGACUUAGUCAGCCUGUAUACUUAAAAUUGGAAUGAUACAGAGAAGACUAGCAUGUCCUCUGCACAAACUUAACACCCAAAUUAUAACCAGAAUUUUGGGCUUUUUUU